rnacentral:rRNA from 1 species
GGGGAAUAUUGGACAAUGGGGGCAACCCUGAUCCAGCCAUGCCGCGUGUGUGAAGAAGGCCUUCGGGUUGUAAAGCACUUUAAGCGGGGAGGAAGGCCUGAUGGCUAAUAUCCAUCGGGAUUGACGUUACCCGCAGAAUAAGCACCGGCAAACUUCGUGCCAGCAGCCGCGGUAAUACGAAGGGUGCGAGCGUUAAUCGGAAUUACUGGGCGUAAAGCGCGCGUAGGUGGUUAAGUAAGCGAUCUGUGAAAGCCCCGGGCUUAACCUGGGAACUGCAGGUCGAACUGCUUGGCUAGAGUAUGGUAGAGGGGUGUGGAAUUUCCUGUGUAGCGGUGAAAUGCGUAGAUAUAGGAAGGAACAUCAGUGGCGAAGGCGACUACCUGGAUCAGCACUGACACUGAGGCACGAAAGCGUGGGGAGCAAAC